GACGAACGCUGGCGGCGUGCUUAACACAUGCAAGUCGAACGAUGAAGCCCAGCUUGCUGGGUGGAUUAGUGGCGAACGGGUGAGUAACACGUGAGUAACCUGCCCUUGACUCUGGGAUAAGCGCUGGAAACGGCGUCUAAUACCGGAUACGACCUGCCCCGGCAUCGGGUGCGGGUGGAAAGUUUUUCGGUCAAGGAUGGACUCGCGGCCUAUCAGCUAGUUGGUGAGGUAAUGGCUCACCAAGGCGACGACGGGUCGCCGGCCUGAGAGGGUGACCGGCCACACUGGGACGGAGACACGGCCCAGACUCCUACGGGAGGAAGCAGUGGGGAAUAUUGCACAAUGGGCGAAAGCCUGAUGCAGCAACGCCGCGUGGGGGAUGACGGCCUUCGGGUUGUAAACCUCUUUUAGUAGGGAGGAAGGGCUUCGGCUUGACGGUACCUGCAGAAAAAGCACCGGCUAACUACGUGCCAGCCGCCGCAGUAA
rnacentral:rRNA from 1 species